rnacentral:lncRNA from 1 species
AAAGUAUACAAAUAAUUGAAAUGACAAGUAGAAAAUAUGUUCACAGUAAAAAAGAGAAGGAGGAGGAGGAGGAGGAGGAGGAAGAGAAGGAAGAAAGGAAGGAAGGAAGGAAGGAAGAAGUUUCUUCUCUGAUGUGUGUUCUGGAGUGCACGGCAGUCACACACCACCACCCUUACUGAGCCACACUGAAAGGAAAUAAAGAACAAUCCAGGCAAGUGGCUGGGAGCUGGUGCCUCAAAGACCUCACAGCUCCUGGAUUUGGGGAGUACAGAGUUUAUAAAGGCAAAAACCACAAGAACAAGUGAGGCACAUGUAGUCAGAGAGACCCUGCUGAGACAGCUUUCAUGAGGGAAUUGUUUUGAUUACACAUUUCAGAGUCAUUUUUGUUAUACAUCAGGACCACAGUCAGGGACUCCGGAAGGUCCUACUGUACUGUCCACAUAGACACAGCUGUUGGGAGGCUGGGAAGGAAUAAUUUUAAGCAAGCAUACAGUGGAGUCAGGUCAGGACAAAAUGCCUGCCGUUAUUUGGGUUCUAUUUCAUUUCAGUAUAUUUUUGUUUAAUUCUCAGAGCUCAAACAGAAGAGAAGCGUUUCCUAACCAGGAACACGGUAUUGCCCAACAUGUUGCAUAAGUAAAAACCUGGAGACGAGGGUGAUCCUUACAAGAUCCAUAAGCUCAUACAGCAUUACCUUUUAAAAAUUUUUUUAAUUUAUUCAUUAGUUGUAGUUGGACCCAACACCUUUAUUCUGUUUAUUUUUUGUUGGUGCUGAGGAUCGAACCCAGGGCCUCGCAUAUGCUAGGCAAGCGCUCCUCCGCUGAACCACAGCCCCAGCCUCUACAGCAUUCUUAUUAAAGGCACCCACAUCAGUAGCUCUGAGAUUGAAACUGUUGAAACAAAGUUAUUGACACUGGCAUGUGAAAAGGUGUUUUUAUAUCCAUGAUCCCCUUGAUCAUCAUGACUUUUUGAAGGAGCUAUCCUCAGCUCAUGAAAAAGUGAGGCCCUGUGAGAUCUCAGUGGUUCCCCCAACGGUCACGUGGUCAAAGUGUUGGGACACGAAGCCAAGAAACUGGCUGCACGCCCUGAGCUCUUCCAUGACACUGCAGGAAAGACAGUUUCAUAAGCUGAUUGAAUCAACCCAGAUAGAAAAGGUGUCCAGUCCUCGGGAAACUCAAAAUAAAAGGGGUGGCAAUCAGAAAAGUACCCGGACAGUAAAGGAAGACAGAACUACCGACACAACAAUGGAAACCGUAAAGCAAAUUCGACAAGAGCCAGCACUGCAGGGCUUGGCAUCACUCUUUAUCUGUGCUCUAACCAAAAGCAAAUCUAUGGAAGUGGAGAGGAUGAGGUUCCUUCAAGAUUGACAGUCAAAUCUCUGUAAGCCAGCAAGAUCCAACACCAUCCUCAGCCUCUUUGGUCCAUUUAGCAGACGGCAUUACUCAUUCUGGUGAGAUGACACACCUGCGAGGGGUCUUCUCAGGAGGCUAAGGACAGGGGGUACAAGUCCUGAGCCAUUGGUCUGCUCGAGACUCAAAGAUAGUUGAUUUGCCUCCCGUCCCAAACCCUGGAGGAAGCCGAGGGCCCUGCCUGGACUGUCUCACUCCUCUGGGGAAACAGUACACAGCCGGGCUGACUGCCGUCUGCUCUCUAGUUCCCCUGCUCGUCGCCAGGGGCAGGUAAGGUUGCCCAGUGAGGCAUGCCCUGGUCCCAUGAUGGGUAUCCAGCCAAGUCCCCUGGACUGUCCUGUGAACAAUGGGCAGGACCACCAUUCCAC